rnacentral:rRNA from 1 species
AUGGUGCAUCCGGUGGCGGAGGCCGACGAGCGGAGCCCCUUCGGCCGGCUCACCACGGAGGCGUACUGCGCGCGCCACGGCGUCACGCACUCCUCCUCCACCUUGGUCAACCCGCGGGGGCUCCGCAUCUUCACGCAGCGCUGGGCGCCC